UGGGGAAUAUUGCACAAUGGGCGCAAGCCUGAUGCAGCCAUGCCGCGUGUAUGAAGAAGGCCUUCGGGUUGUAAAGUACUUUCAGCGAGGAGGAAGGCGUUAUGGUUAAUAACAGCAACGAUUGACGUUACUCGCAGAAGAAGCACCGGCUAACUCCGUGCCAGCAGCCGCGGUAAUACGGAGGGUGCAAGCGUUAAUCGGAAUUACUGGGCGUAAAGCGCACGCAGGCGGUCUGUCAAGUCGGAUGUGAAAUCCCCGGGCUCAACCUGGGAACUGCAUCCGAAACUGGCAGGCUAGAGUCUUGUAGAGGGGGGUAGAAUUCCAGGUGUAGCGGUGAAAUGCGUAGAGAUCUGGAGGAAUACCGGUGGCGAAGGCGGCCCCCUGGACAAAGACUGACGCUCAGGUGCGAAAGCGUGGGGAGCAAACA
rnacentral:rRNA from 1 species